AUUGAACGCUGGCGGCAUGCCUUACACAUGCAAGUCGAACGGUAACAGGUUAAGCUGACGAGUGGCGAACGGGUGAGUAAUAUAUCGGAACGUGCCCAGUCGUGGGGGAUAACUGCUCGAAAGAGCAGCUAAUACCGCAUACGACCUGAGGGCGAAAGCGGGGGAUCGCAAGACCUCGCGCGAUUGGAGCGGCCGAUAUCAGAUUAGGUAGUUGGUGGGGUAAAGGCCCACCAAGCCAACGAUCUGUAGCUGGUCUGAGAGGACGACCAGCCACACUGGGACUGAGACACGGCCCAGACUCCUACGGGAGGCAGCAGUGGGGAAUUUUGGACAAUGGGCGCAAGCCUGAUCCAGCCAUGCCGCGUGCGGGAAGAAGGCCUUCGGGUUGUAAACCGCUUUUGUCAGGGGAGAAAAGGUUCUGGUUAAUACCUGGGACUCAUGACGGUACCUGAAGAAUAAGCACCGGCUAACUACGUGCCAGCCGCCGCCGUAA
rnacentral:rRNA from 1 species